UACGAAGGGGGCUAGCGUUGCUCGGAAUUACUGGGCGUAAAGCGCACGUAGGCGGCUUUCUAAGUCGGGGGUGAAAUCCUGGAGCUCAACUCCAGAACUGCCUUCGAUACUGGAAAGCUCGAGUCCGGGAGAGGUGAGUGGAACUGCGAGUGUAGAGGUGAAAUUCGUAGAUAUUCGCAAGAACACCAGUGGCGAAGGCGGCUCACUGGCCCGGUACUGACGCUGAGGUGCGAAAGCGUGGGGAGCAAACAGU
rnacentral:rRNA from 1 species